AUAAUACAUUAAAAUUAAACCACACAAGGCCACGGUCAUGGCCAUGGCCAUAUAUUACAUGAUUAUGAAGAAGGAAACACAAAACAUUACGAGUGAUGGGUGACACAACACGCACAUCACUCCACACACUAGUAGUAGACCAUCAUAAAAACGAAGUAGAGAAUUUUUCUUUUUUUUUAAUCACCCUUACAUUAUUCUUAACCCCCACAAUAUUUAGGCACACUUGCAGCUUCUUAUUUUUUGCUGCAUGUGUUUGCUUAUUAGUGACUACCACAAGUGCAGUUCACACAAGCGCAGGUGGGGCCGCACUUGCAGUUACCUUCAGUCUCAGCAGCCUGAACGUCCAUGACAACAACGGUGCUGACAAAGCUGCAUACCAACAGAGAGGGAAAAAAAAAAUUACCAUCAACCAAGGCCAAAAAUAGAACCCCCAAAGAAAUCACAGGGUAUAGCUAUUGACUUCAAUCUUAAGUUAUAUAGCUUAGCCCUCAAGUUAUGUCGAGUUUGAUUUGUUUAGUUUCUUGUUGUGCCUUUGAGAGUUCUUAAAGUAAGUACCUCAAGUCAGUCUCGACGAAGUCAGCAGCAUAGCUGCUUCCCUUCUUCCUGCAAGUGCAUAAAAUAUAUAGUUCAUGAGCUUAGCAGUAAAAGGUUGCCCCAGGCUCCGAAAAAUUUGAGCUCCACAACCAUGCAAGGAUAUGAACACAACCACAGUAUCACUUGAUUGAUGAAUGAAUUCCGUUAUACUUACACACACUGGCUCCUGUCAGCGCAGUCGCAGUUGCCGCAGGUGUCCGACAUGUUGAUUGAGCUUAGAACUUGGAACUUAAAACUGGAAAUAGAGGGCUCUUUAUUGUACGAAACUUGCUUUGCUUUGCUGUGACGAUAUGUUCAAGACCUGCAGCGAGAUGCUAUUUAAAGGGGGAUGGAGAGGCAAUGCCAGUGCGGUGGUGAUUGGGUCAUUUCAUCAAAAUGAAUGUGGGACCAACCAGCAUGUGGGGGUUCCGGGGCCCACCUAGGCAUGAGAGGAGCACACGCCUCUCGAGGGAAUCUUUAAUUUUGAUAAUGGAGGGGAUUGGUGCGGUGGAGGCUUUCUUUGGUUUGGCUUGCUAUCCUCCUCUCAUGUCAACUUCCCCCUUCUCUACUUUCUCUUCGACAGAGACUCG
rnacentral:lncRNA from 1 species